rnacentral:rRNA from 1 species
UACGUAGGUGGCAAGCGUUGUUCGGAAUAACUGGGCGUAAAGGAUGCGUAGGCGGUUAAACAAGUUAUAUGUUAAAUAUAUAGGCUUAACCUGUAGAAAGCAUAUAAAACUGUUUAACUAGAGUGCAGGAGAGGUAAGUGGAAUUCCUAGUGUAGCGGUGAAAUGCGUAGAGAUUAGGAAGAACACCAGUGGCGAAGGCGACUUACUGGACUGUAACUGACGCUGGGGCAUGAGAGCAUGGGGAGCAAACAGG